UCCAAGUCUACCUCCUCUCAUUGUGGCGUCAAUGAUAACACCUGUGUCCGCCACCAUCUGAGGACCCUCGUAGAAGCGAACUCUGCACACCAACAGACCACAGGUCGGUGUUGGAGGAACCAGCGGUAAGAAGUCUUGUCCUUCCAGCCAACAUUGCGAGCAUCUUUCCACAGGAGUUUGACCUGGUCACUUGUGUCGCCGGUGUGCCACAGAGCGUUCCUCAGGUUUUCACCUGGACCCGUGGUCGACUUCACAGCCUUUUCAACACCACAAAUGACAAGAAGCAUCUCUCUUUGAAACGUGCUUCGAUUGCAGUAGAUCAGUUAGCAUAGCAUGGCAACUCUUUUUUUAAAGCUUUCUCGUGGACAUAAAGGAGACUCACCUUGAUACAGUUCCUCUCAGGACAGUCCAGUUUCUCAUCGGGGAAACCAUCUAUGUCAAUGUCAGCCCCGCAGAGAUAGCCGUUUCCAGCCCA